AGUGGAUGGGGAGCAACCUAGUUGUGCGUGUGUAAAGGUAGUGCCAAGAAAAGCGAUGAUCAUGUUGAAAAUCAAUUCCCGGUACCCGAAACCGACACAGGUGGGCAAGUAGAGAAUACUAAGGGGCGCGAGGUAACUCUCUCCAAGGAACUCGGCAAAAUGACCCCGUAACUUAGGGAGAAGGGGUGCCACCGAGAGGUGGUCGCAGUGAAGAGGCCCAGGCGACUGUUUAGCAAAAACAUAGGUCUCUGCAAACUCGAAAGAGGAGGUAUAGGGGCUGACGCCUGCCCAGUGCCGGAAGGUUAAAGAAGUUGGUCAGUUUUAGGAUGAAGCUAGCGACUGAAGCCCCGGUGAACGGCGGCCGUAACUAUAACGGUCCUAAGGUAGCGAAAUUCCUUGUCGGGUAAGUUCCGACCCGCACGAAAGGCGUAACGAUCUGGGCACUGUCUCGGAGAGAGGCUCGGCGAAAUAGGAUUGUCUGUGAAGAUACGGACUACCUGCAUUUGGACAGAAAGACCCUAUGAAGCUUUACUAUAGCUUGGAAUUGUGUUCGGGCUUCCUGUGCGCAGGAUAGGUGGGAGGCGUAGAAGGUAUUCUUGUGGGGAUACUGGAGCCAACGGUGAGAUACCACUCUCAGGAGGCUAGAAUUCUAACUUAAUUAAGGACAGUUUCAGGUGGGUAGUUUGACUGGGGCGGUCGCCUCCAAAAAGGUAACGGAGGCGUACAAAGGUUCCCUCAGACUGGUUGGAAAUCAGUCGAAGAGUGCAAAGGCAGAAGGGAGCUUGACUGCGAGAAGUACAGUACGAGCAGGGUGGAAACACGGUCUUAGUGAUCCGACGGUGCUGUGUGGAAGGGCCGUCGCUCAACGGAUAAAAGUUACUCUAGGAUAACAGGCUGAUCUCCCCCAAGAGUUCACAUCGACGGGGAGGUUUGGCACCUCGAUGUCGGCUCAUCGCAACCUGGGGCGGAAGUACGUCCCAAGGGUUGGGCUGUUCGCCCAUUAAAGCGGUACGUGAGCUGGGUUCAGAACGUCGUGAGACAGUUCGGUCCAUAUCCGAUGUAGGCGUGAGAAUAUUGAGAGGAGCCUUCCUUAGUACGAGAGGACCGGGAAGGACGCACCGCUGGUGUACCUGUUAUGAUGCCAAUUGUAAACGCAGGGUAGCCAAGUGCGGAGAGGAUAACCGCUGAAAGCAUCUAAGUGGGAAGCCCACCUCAAGAUGAGUAUUCUGGUGUAAGGUCACGGGAAGACGACCCGUAAAUAGGCACGAGGUGGAAGUGCAGAGAUGUAUGAAGCCGAAGUGUACUAAUAGACCGUCGGCUUGACC
rnacentral:rRNA from 1 species